rnacentral:siRNA from 1 species
GAGACGGCGAUAGUGACAAUGAUG